UCCCUGGUGGUCCAGUGGCUAAGACUCUGCACUCCUAAUACAGGGGCCCUGGGUUCAAUCCCUGGUCAGGGAA
rfam:TPA: Bos taurus chromosome 12, whole genome shotgun sequence.